rnacentral:rRNA from 1 species
GACAGAGGUGGCAAGCGUUGUUCGGAUUCAUUGGGUGUAAAGGGUGCGUAGGCGGUUUGGAAAGUCAGAUGUGAAAUCCUACAGCUUAACUGUAGAACUGCAUUUGAAACUCUCAGACUAGAGUAUGGAAGAGGUGAAGGGAAUUCCCGGUGUAAGGGUGAAAUCUGCAGAUAUCGGGAAGAACACCAGUAGCGAAGGCGCUUCACUGGUCCAUUACUGACGCUGAGUGCACGAAGGUGUGGGGAGCAAACGGG